rnacentral:rRNA from 1 species
CACGUAGGGGGCAAGCGUUGUCCGGAUUUACUGGGCGUAAAGGGCGCGUAGGCGGUCUCUUAAGUAUGGGGUGAAAUCUCUGGGCUCAACCUGGAAAUUGCCUUGUAGACUGGGAGACUAGAGGGAGGUAGAGGUGAGUAGAAUUCCCGGUGUAGCGGUGACAUGCACAGAUAUCGGGAGGAAUACCAAUGGCGAAGGCAGCUCACUGGACCGUUCCUGACGCUAAGGCGCGAAAGCGUGGGUAGCAAACAGG